UGGGGAAUUUUGGACAAUGGGCGAAAGCCUGAUCCAGCCAUGCCGCGUGAGUGAAGAAGGCCUUCGGGUUGUAAAGCUCUUUCGGUUGGGAAGAAAUUGCCUGGGUUAAUACCUCAGGUAGAUGACGGUACCAGCAUAAGAAGCACCGGCUGACUACGUGCCAGCAGCCGCGGUAAUACGUAGGGUGCGAGCGUUAAUCGGAAUUACUGGGCGUAAAGCGUGCGCAGGCGGUUGUGUAAGUCAGAUGUGAAAUCCCCGGGCUCAACCUGGGAACUGCAUUUGAGACUGCACGGCUAGAGUGUGGCAGAGGGGGGUAGAAUUCCACGUGUAGCAGUGAAAUGCGUAGAGAUGCGGAGGAACACCGAUGGCGAAGGCAAUCCCCUGGACCUGUACUGACGCUCAUACACGAAAGCGUGGGGAGCAAACA
rnacentral:rRNA from 1 species